UGGUUCUUGUUGUCAACCUGCUUGGCCAAC
rnacentral:piRNA from 2 species